rnacentral:rRNA from 1 species
UACGUAGGGUGCGAGCGUUGUCCGGAAUUAUUGGGCGUAAAGAGCUCGUAGGCGGUUUCGUAAGUCGGAUGUGAAAACUCAGGGCUCAACCCGGAGACGCCAUCUGAUACUGCGAUGACUUGAGUCUGGUAGGGGAACACGGAAUUCCUGGUGUAGCGGUGAAAUGCGCAGAUAUCAGGAGGAACACCGAUGGCGAAGGCAGUGUUCUGGGCCAGUACUGACGCUGAGGAGCGAAAGCGUGGGGAGCAAACAGG